rnacentral:rRNA from 1 species
UACUCCUACGGGAGGCAGCAGUGGGGAAUAUUGGACAAUGGGCGAAAGCCUGAUCCAGCAAUGCCGCGUGAGUGAAGAAGGCCUUCAGGUUGUAAAGCUCUUUUGUCAGGGAAGAAACGGUGAGGGCUAAUAUCCCUUGCUAAUGACGGUACCUGAAGAAUAAGCACCGGCUAACUACGUGCCAGCAGCCGCGGUAAUACGUAGGGUGCAAGCGUUAAUCGGAAUUACUGGGCGUAAAGCGUGCGCAGGCGGUUUUGCAAGUCUGAUGUGAAAUCCCCGGGCUCAACCUGGGAAUUGCAUUGGAGACUGCAAGGCUAGAAUCUGGCAGAGGGGGGUAGAAUUCCACGUGUAGCAGUGAAAUGCGUAGAUAUGUGGAGGAACACCGAUGGCGAAGGCAGCCCCCUGGGUCAAGAUUGACGCUCAUGCACGAAAGCGUGGGGAGCAAACAGGAUUAGAUACCCUGGUAGUCCACGCCCUAAACGAUGUCUACUAGUUGUCGGGUCUUAAUUGACUUGGUAACGCAGCUAACGCGUGAAGUAGACCGCCUGGGGAGUACGGUCGCAAGAUUAAAACUCAAAGGAAUUGACGGGGACCCCCACAAGCGGUGGAGCAUGUGGA